rnacentral:rRNA from 1 species
GACGAACGCUGGCGGCGUGCCUAAUACAUGCAAGUCGAACGCAUUUUCUUUCACCGUAGCUUGCUACACCGAAAGAAAAUGAGUGGCGAACGGGUGAGUAACACGUGGGUAACCUGCCCAUCAGCGGGGGAUAACACUUGGAAACAGGUGCUAAUACCGCAUAAUUCCAUUUACUGCAUGGUAGAUGGAUGAAAGGCGCUUUUGCGUCACUGAUGGAUGGACCCGCGGUGCAUUAGCUAGUUGGUGGGGUAACGGCCUACCAAGGCUGCGAUGCAUAGCCGACCUGAGAGGGUGAUCGGCCACACUGGGACUGAGACACGGCCCAGACUCCUACGGGAGGCAGCAGUAGGGAAUCUUCGGCAAUGGACGCAAGUCUGACCGAGCAACGCCGCGUGAGUGAAGAAGGUUUUCGGAUCGUAAAACUCUGUUGUUAGACAAGAACAAGGAUGAGAGUGGAAAGUUCAUCCCUUGACGGUAUCUAACCAGAAAGCCACGGCUAACUACGUG